UUCAAGGUAUAAUAUUCCAAGGGGACAAAACACUAUUCAAGUUUGAAUUUAUACAAAGAUAAGAUUCUCCAACAAACUCUAUCCAAGAAAAACACUAUUCAAGAUAAGAUCAAAGACAAAGCUUGGAUUUAUGUGAGAAAUCAAGGAGCCAUCCAUUGAAGAUCCAAGGGUGGACAUUGAGUGGCCAAGGCUAUAAAUAGAAGGGUAAACCCCUCAUUUUCACUCACCACACUACAAACAAACUCAAGAGCUUUCACUCCACACUUGCCCACACGUUUUUGCCUCCAAGCUUCCAAGCUUUCAAGUGCUCAAGUGUCCUAGUUUUCCAAAGCUUCAAAAGCUCUCCAACUUCUUCUUCUAAUCUUCUUGUUCAUCUUUACAAGUAAAAAGUGUUGUUUGCUUUAAUAUUCCACUCCUCUAAUCACCUCUUGUGUGUGUCUACUUUGGUUGAGAGGGUUGUCUCAAUAGUACCAAAGUGUGAGAGAAGGUUUUUGAGCUCAACCAUAAAGCUCUAGUUUGGUUUUAUAGAGUUUCCGGGAAAACUCUUAGGUCGAGUCUACCUUGAAAGAUUUCAGAGGUUUUUAAGAGUUUCUUGAUACUCUAAGGUACUAACUUACCCGUAAAAGUUAGAGGUUCUUAAGAGUGCCCUUGAUACUCUAAGGUGUGAGUCUACCCGUAAAAGACUGGUUCCUAAGCGAAGUAGCCUUAAAGCUUAGAGAGGUUCUUAAGAGUUUCCUUGAUACUCUAAGGUUUUGCCAUAAACUUUAGGCGAGUGAAUUCCGACAGUUGGUCGGGACUGGACUAGCUCUUGUUUGGGUGAACCAGUAUAAAUCUCUUGUGUUGUUUUUGUUAACUCUAGUUUUUAUCUUUCAUCUAAAAACAACCAAACAACACUUAAUUGAAAAGGAUCCCUCUUUCAGUUAUCUGGUCAAAUACAGAGGUUGACUACUUUACGUAGAUCCCUCAUCCAGUUAUCUGGUCAACUAUCUGAGGUUUUAUUCAUUGCUUUAAAUCUUUAUUCAUAUAUUUGUUCAAGCAUUUAUUUAUCAUAUAUAUAUCCAGUUAUCUGGUCAUUUACUUGUUUAUCAAUAUAUCCAGUUAUCUGGUCAUUUACUUGUUUAUCAAUAUAUCCAGUUAUCUGGUCAUUUACUCUAUAAUAUAACUUGUGCUUAUAAUAUAACUUAGUAUUCAUAUACUAUAGUUGUUUAUAAAACACCAUCUGAAAAGUUGACUACGUAUUCAUAUACUGUAGUAAACUUCAAGAGCAAAAGGCAAGUCCAAUACAUUUAAUAUUAUAAGAUAUAAUAUUAUAUUCUUUAAAAUUAUAUAAUAGUAUUGUAUUGCUAACAAUAUUAUACUAUUAUUAUUAUACAACCAUUUGUGUACUUAAGUGUGUGCAGGUAAUUCCGCUAUUAACUUGCAUAAAUCGAAAAGAGGCUAUUAUCCCCCCUUAUAGCCUCGGAUCUCGAUCCAACAAGUGGUAUCAGAGCCAAGUACCAUUAAAGUUUGACUAACAUCUUACAACAACAACUAUGGCACCAAAUGGUGAAUUCAACACGGGUCUUGCGUCAAACCAACCUCCCAGGUUCGAUGGAGUAAAGUAUGACUUCUGGAAGAACAAGAUGAAGUUAUACUUGAAGUCAAUCAACAAUGGAGUAUGGAAGAUCAUAUUAGAGGAUUAUGAAAUUCCAACAAGCAAUGAAGAGACUUGGGAAGAAAUGGACAUCCUUAAGGAAAACAACAACUCAAGAGCAUUGAAUGCUCUAUAUGGAGCACUCAAUGAAUCUGAGUACAGCAGAAUUCGAUGCUUGGAUACAGCUCACAAGGUAAUAUAGAUAGAUCAUUUCUUAGAGAUGUUUACUUAGUUAAUGGCCUUAAACAUAAUCUUAUCAGCAUAAGUCAAUUAUGUGAUAAUGAUUGCACAGUUAAAUUUGAAAAACAUCUAUGCUCAAUCAUUAACUCCAAGGGAGUUAUAAUUGCUAAAGGAUAUAGGCAAACACAUGCUUAUUCCAUAACCUUUNNNNNNNNNNNNNNNNNNNNNNNNNNNNNNNNNNNNNNNNNNNNNNNNNNNNNNNNNNNNNNNNNNNNNNNNNNNNNNNNNNNNNNNNNNNNNNNNNNNNUGAUGAAAAGACUUUAUGGCAUAGAAGGUUAGGUCACACCAGUUAUUCUCGAUUAUCCAAACUAUCAAAAGAAGAACUGGUAACUGGACUGCCUAAAAUAGCAUAUGAGAAAAGUAAUCUCUGUGAUGCUUGUCAAAAGGGGAAACAGCAUAAAAGCUCAUUGAAAUCCCUUACAGAUAUUACUACGUCCAGACCUUUGGAACUUCUACACAUGGACUUAUUUGGGCCAACCCAAACCCAAAGUCUUGGCGGUAAAAGGUUUACGUAUGUAAUAGUAGAUGAUUACUCAAGAUUUACUUGGGUUUUCUUCUUACGAAAUAAAAGUGACUCAUUCAACGAGUUCUCAUCAUUUUGUACACGUGUACAAAAUGAGAAGGAUGUCUUCAUAAAAAGAAUCAGAAGUGAUCAUGGAGGAGAAUUCGAGAACUCUGAGUUUGAAGAAUUUUGCAAAACUCAUGGAAUAAAACAUGAAUUUUCUUUUCCCCAAGCACCCCCUCAGAAUGGAGUUGUUGAAAGGAAAANNNNNNNNNNNNNNNNNNNNNNNNNNNNNNNNNNNNNNNNNNNNNNNNNNNNNNNNNNNNNNNNNNNNNNNNNNNNNNNNNNNNNNNNNNNNNNNNNNNNNNNNNNNNNNNNNNNNNNNNNNNNNNNNNNNNNNNNNNNNNNNNNNNNNNNNNNNNNNNNNNNNNNNNNNNNNNNNNNNNNNNNNNNNNNNNNNNNNNNNNNNNNNNNNNNNNNNNNNNNNNNNNNNNNNNNNNNNNNNNNNNNNNNNNNNNNNNNNNNNNNGGUAGGAUACUCUAGAAAAAGCAAAGCCUACAAAAUUCUUCUCAAAGAAAAACAAAUAAUGAUCGAAUCAUUACACGUUGACUUUGAUGAAUCCACUCAGACAACCAUUGCAGAAGAAGAUGAAAUAGUUCCAGAACCAGAAAUCAUCAUUCCAACUGAAGAAACUACCAAUGUCGAAAUCGAAGUCCUUGAGCCUCCAUCCAACAGGUUGCUCAGGAACCCACAUUCCACUGAUCAAAUCAUUGGUGACCAUCAAGCUGGUGUUAAAAUCAGAUCAUCCAUUCAAGGAAACAAUGUUCUUGACUGUUUUGUCUCUCAAAUUGAGCCCAAGAAAGUUGAUGAAGCCCUCGACGACAACUACUGGAUUCAAGCUAUGCAAGAAGAACUCAACCAAUUUGAGAGAAAUGAUGUAUGAGAACUAGUUCCAAAACCAAAAGAUACAUCAAUCAUUGGGACAAGAUGGGUAUUCAGAAACAAGCUGGACGAAGAUGGAACUAUAGUCAGAAACAAAGCUAGACUGGUUGCGCAAGGAUACAAUCAACAAGAAGGAAUUGAUUAUGAUGAAACCUUUGCACCAGUAGCUAGACUAGAGUCUAUCAGAAUGCUCCUAUCCUUUGCAUGUUACAAAGAUUUCAAAUUAUAUCAAAUGGAUGUAAAGAGUGCAUUCUUGAAUGGAAUAGUUAAUGAACAAGUAUAUGUUAGACAACCCCCCGGUUUCGAAGAUUACAAAAACCCUGAUCAUGUCCUUAAACUUAAGAAAGCCCUCUAUGGUCUGAAACAAGCACCCCGAGCUUGGUAUGAAAGACUAAGAAACUUUCUCAUUUCUCAGGAAUUUAGAAUGGGGAGUAUAGAUAAUACAUUGUUCAUUAAAAAUGUCAAAAGUGACAUUAUUCUAAUUCAAAUCUAUGUUGAUGACAUUAUAUUUGAAUCAACCGAUGAUACUCUAUGUAAGAAAUUUUCCAAACAAAUGGAAGAUGAAUUUGAAAUGAGUAUGAUGGGAGAGUUGACUUUUUUCUUAAGUCUACAAGUCAAACAGAAGGAGAAUGGAAUAUUCCUAAGUCAAGUCAAAUAUGCUAAGGAAUUGAUAAAGAAAUUUGACUUGGCUGAAUCUAAAUCUAUGCCAACUCCGAUGAGUUCAACACUUAAAUUGGAUAAAGAUGUUGAAGGUCAAUCAGUAGACAUUAAGAAAUACAGAGGAAUGAUUGAAUCACUGCUAUACCUAACAGCCAGCAGACCAGACAUCAUGUUUGCAGUCUGCUUAUGUGCCAGAUUCCAAUCAGACCCAAAAGAGUCACAUCUCAAAGCGGUUAAAAGAAUAAUCAGGUAUAUCAAAGGAACAAUUACACUUGGAUUAUUCUACCCUAAGGAAAAAUCAUUCACACUGACAGUAUACUGUGAUAUUGACUUUGGUGGAUGUAAGACUGACAGAAAAAGCACUAGUGGAACAUGCUUUCUGUUGGGAAGCUCACUCGUAGCAUGGUCAUGUAAAAAGCAAAAUAGUAUUGCUUUAUCCACAACUGAAGCAGAAUAUAUGGCAGCAUCUAAUGCAUGCACUCAAAUUUUGUGGAUGAAACAAACAUUAUCCGACUACGAUAUAGCUUUAGAAACAGUAGCUCUUAAAUGUGACAACAAGAGUACAAUUUGUUUAUCAAAAAACUCUGUGUUACAUUCAAGAUCUAAACACAUUGAUGUCAGACAUCAUUUCCUUAGAGAUCAUGUAGAAAAAAAAAAUGUCUAGAAUAUAUUUCUACUGAAGAUCAAAUGGCUGACAUCAUCACUAAACCCUUAGACCAAGUUCAUUCAAAAAUCAGAAGAUCUAUGGGUAUAUGUGAGCUUAGUGAAAUUUGAUUAGUUAUGAGUUAAUGCAUCUCAAGCUUUAGUAUUCUUCACCUGAAUAUCUUUAUACUUAUAACCUUGAUCAUAAUCACAUUAAAAUGAAUAUACGUAUGCAUGAAUUUACAAAUCUAAGAUUUAAAUGACUAAGUAUAUACAUAUAAUUCAUCAUAUGCAUGCAUAAAAUGAAGAGCUUAACUUGACUAAAUGACUAUCAUAUAUAUCAAUAGAAUCAUGUUAAUACAUGCCUACAUGUUCACCAUGCUACUAGAAACUACAUGAUUCAAAUAACUAUCUGAUAAAUGCAUGUCUGGCAAAGUAAAUAUUGCAAUAUUAUGCAUGUACACGUAUGUGGUCUUUAAAAAUAUAAGAUACAUGGUUUGAGUUUAGCAUGAUACUAUGAUUUAUCUUAUACAUGCAUGCUAAUAUUUAUUUAUGAAUCUUAUGACAUGCAUGAAUCUAUGAAUUAUAUACAUGCAUAAUGAUAUGAAAUACUUAAAUACAUGAUGAUCAAAACAGCUAAUUUUGACUUAUGUAUAUAACUGUUUAAAUCAUGCAUAUUCCAUGUCAUCACAUACAUAUAAUUGAGAAAAUUAUAAGAUUAAUUCUAUGUUGCACACAUACUACAUGAGAUUAUUUCCUACUUUGAGAAAAAUCAACAUCACAUGGUAUUGGUAAUCCAAACCUUACCUUAUGGCAUUGAGAAUCGUCGUCUGCACAUUCUGCAACCUCGAUGCUGCAACUUCAUCCAGCAAACCUGUCGCAACUAGUCACUCACGACAGCUAGGAGCAUGGACUAUCGUGCAUAGUGCAAAGAAUGCGUUGAAGACCACCAAAAGGUAUGUUUUAAAUUAAAUAUUAUUCUGGAUACAAGCCACUAAAAUACAAGCCUUGCUAAGAUCCUAGCUAGUUCUUAGAUGAUAGUUUCAAAAUCUCAUUACUUGUUAAACCUAACAAGUCAUGUCAGUACAUGGGAAAUAAAAAAACUCUCUUUUGAGAAGAAGACUACAAGAUAAAACGAUUUUUCAUGGCUUUGUCAAACCAAGAAAUUCUUGGAAACUAAAACAUAAAUUAUUUUUGAAGUUUCUAAGUUUAAAAUGAUUCACUGAAACUUAAGGAUUAAGAUGAUAUUUUUUUUCCAGUGAAUAUAGAGUUAUGUGAAACUUCAAGGACUUAAACAUAAAUCGUUUAUGAAGUUUUUAAGUUUUAAAUAGAUUCACUAAAACUUAAGGGUCAAAAUGAUAUCUUUACAGUGAAUAAAUAUCUAGUUAAAAUUUCAGGGACUUAAAAUUAAUAUUUACAUGAAGUUUUCAAAUUAAAAAUUGCUUAGAAAUAGUUAAUACUUCCAAGGUUUAAAUGAAAUAUUUCAAGUAUUAAUCUAAGUAUUUAUCAUAACUUUAAAGGGCUUAAAUAAAAUUUUGUUUUAAGUGAAGUUUUACUACCAAGGCUUUAAGGACUGAAAUGAAAAUUUUAAAUCUUUUAAAACUUAGUGAAUAUUUACAUGAUUAUAUUUGUCACUAAGACAUAGAUUUUAAAAUUUUAAAUGCUCAAUUUCUUCUUAAAGCAAUUAGUGAAUAUUAUGGAUUUAUACAUAUCAUUUACUAAUAUCUUAUGGAUUAUAACAUUAUAAAAUCUUUAAUCCAUACAUGUUAAGAUUAUCUUCAUCCAUAACACACACAUGGAUUAUUAUUCAUUGCAUGAUCUUAGCACAAGGCAAUUUAAAUUAUCAUAUCAUACUUGCCUUAUAAUGUAUAUCAAAAUUGGCUUCAAUCCAAUAUUUUAUCAAUGAGCAUAAAUUACAUGUCAUUUCUCCUUUAUGAUUGACUAACACUCUUAUAAACAAGAAGUCACAUUUGGUCAACCACACAAAUCGAAUUUGUGAUCAAAGAUCAAUAAGGUAUGAAAUUUUAUUUUCUCCACAAAUUAGAUAUGUCCUAUCAUUAAGGGGGAGAUACUUCACAUGUAUCUAUUUUUAACUUUGUCGAUACCUUAUUGUUUUAAGGGGGAGAAAUCAUGCAUGAUCCACUGCUUUUAAAUUGAAUAUUAUGGGUCAAUAAUUCAGGGGUAGCAUGCUCAUAAGGGUAUAAUAGAAUAUUGACUAGACAUGAGUUAAAACAUAUAUGCCAUCGACAAAGGAGGAGAAUGUAAAAUCAAAAUUGUCGACAUAGGAUUAUAUUUUAAUCAGGUCAAUUUAAACCCUAAUUACACUAUUAAUCAAUAGGGGGUAAAUAAGUCAAUCGAUAUUAAACCUAACUCUAGUUAAUUAAUUAAUCAUUUGAGUUAAGGGUUUAAGUCAAAGUUAAAAGUCAAAUAGGGAGAAUUGCAUUUUCACCUUGAAUAUUAUUAUUUGGAAUAAUUGCAUUUUCACCUUGAAUAUUAUUAUUUGGAAUAACACUUUAUUCAAGGUAUAAUAUUUUAAGGGGACAAAACACUAUUCAAGUUUGAAUUUAUACAAAGAUAAGAUUCUCCAACAAACUCUAUCCAAGAAAAGCACUAUUCAAGAUAAUAUCAAAGACAAAGCUUGGAUUUAUGUGAGAAAUCAAGGAGCCAUCCAUUGAAGAUCCAAGGGUGGACAUUGAGUGGCCAAGGCUAUAAAUAGAAGGGUAAACCCCUCAUUUUCACUCACCACACUACAAGCAAACUCAAGAGCUUUCACUCCAAACUUGCCCACACGUUUUUGCCUCCAAUCUUCCAAGCUUUCAAGUGCUCAAGUGUCCUAGCUUUCCAAAGCUUCAAAAGCUCUCCAACUUCUUCUUCUAAUCUUCUUGUUCAUCUUUACAAGUAAGAAGUGUUGUUUGCUUUAAUAUUCCACUCCUCUAAUCACCUCUUGUGUGUGUCCAUUUUGGUUGAGAGGGUUGUCUCAAUAGUACCAAAGUGUGAGAGAAGGUUUUUGAGCUCAACCAUAAAGAUCUAGUUUGGUUUUAUAGAAUUUCCU
rnacentral:lncRNA from 1 species